rnacentral:rRNA from 1 species
UCUUCGGCAAUGGGCGCAAACCUGACCGAGCGACGCCGCGUGUGCGAUGAAGGCCUUCGGGUUGUAAAGCACUGUCGAGGGGGAUAAAGGCGCAAGCUUGAUAGAUCCCUGGAGGAAGCACGGGCUAAGUUCGUGCCAGCAGCCGCGGUAAGACGAACCGUGCGAACGUUGUUCGGAAUCACUGGGCUUAAAGGGUGCGUAGGCGGGGUGGCAAGUCUGUGGUGAAAUCCUCCGGCUCAACCGGAGAACUGCCGUGGAUACUGCUACUCUCGAGGGGUGUAGGGGCAUGUGGAACUCAGGGUGGAGCGGUGAAAUGCGUAGAUAUCCUGAGGAACGCCGGGGCGAAAGGGACGUGCUGAUGGCCUUCUGACGCUGAGGCACGAAG